CAGUAGCCGCGGUAAUACGAAGGGUGCAAGCGUUAAUCGGAAUUACUGGGCGUAAAGCGCGCGUAGGUGGUUUGGUAAGAUGGAUGUGAAAUCCCCGGGCUCAACCUGGGAACUGCAUUCAUAACUGCCUGACUAGAGUACGGUAGAGGGUGGUGGAAUUUCCUGUGUAGCGGUGAAAUGCGUAGAUAUAGGAAGGAACACCAGUGGCGAAGGCGACCACCUGGACUGAUACUGACACUGAGGUGCGAAAGCGUGGGGAGCAAACAGGAUUAGAUACCCCUGUAGUCCCUGUCUCUUAUAC
rnacentral:rRNA from 1 species